CCCAUUUGUUUUGCGACUUAUGAAAUGCCGGCGUAUAUAUAUUUUCAACAUUUGACGUAACCCUGUAUGUUUUGCAGCACCCAGUCAACUGCCAGAAGUGACUCAAACACAGGCCACCAGUGGCACUCGGCUGUACCACUGCAGUGCUGCGGAAAUUGCCAGCACCAGCGGCUUUGCAACAGCUGUUUCACAGCAUGUCGGAGACAAUGCCUACGAAAUUAUAGGCCCUGAUGACGAGAGCCCUCAAGGGGCAAACGACAUCUCUGUUGCAGAAGUGAGCCCGAUACCACCUGAAGUUACCAUGACAGAUGACAUGGCAGCAAUAGAUACAGAGACUGCCAUGUCUACUGCAGCUGCAACAGUGUACGAGGCAAGCAGCAGCGCGUCAGCAUCAGCAGCAGUGUCAGAAGGAACCCUACCAGGCCUGGUAGAGCAACAUGUGUGCUAUCACUGACUUUUUUUUGUAGUGCAUACAACUCAUUUGCUCAACAUACAAAAGCUUUUCACCACGACUGUGAGCCAGUGUUUUUGUGCAGCAAGUGCAAGACUAAGUUAGAUGUUAUAACACAGUACAAGCAUCACUUUAAAAUAUGCAAAUGCAAACAUAUUACAGUUGUUGCCUCCCCAGCCAGCCCACAUAGCGCAAUGUGGAACACAUGGUGGGACACACCUCUCCCUCUAUUAGAAGAUAGUAGAGACUGUCAGUGUUGCUGCUAGAUUGACUGGUCUUUGUAGGCAACUAGAAGGACAACACAGGUGUCAUAAGAUUGUUGUUGUUGUUGUUGUUGAAGAGGUAAAAAAGAAGUUUGAUGCAGCUGAAGUGCGAACUGAUACUGAGUGCAAUCAAAAGCAACCACCUGAGAAAGCAACACUCGAAAUUUGGUUAUCUAUGUGCCGCCAACUCUGGUAAGGAUGGCAUAGGACAGAAGUGUGAUGAAAAUCACACAGAUACUGCUGUUGCAUCACUGGCCACAGUGAGCAGUGACUUGUAGGGCAAGAGAGUCAACUGAAAGGAACAUUUUGACAGUGUCAUGCUCCCAUGUGACCACUUUCCAUGUUAUUUUGCAUGAUACAGCUCAACCUCCAGAAACAAGACUGCAACUUGUCUGUAAAAAAGCUUUCACGAAAAAUUAUUCAUAAGACUAUUAACAUUGCAGUAUCUUUCUUUUGUGUGGUUUCAAGGUUCCCGGGUGUCCAUUAAUGCAAAAAUUGAGGAAAAAAAGAAAGUGUCGUACUUACACCUUUUUAACAAGUACGAGGGGGACAACUUUUCUAGUCUUGCAUCAUCAUACUAUCAAGUUUUUAAAUGCCUUUUAUAAUUAUUAUUACCAGUUAUAUCUGAGUGCAUUGUAUGCAUGUAGCAGGUGUAAAAUCAGGUCAGUUGGAUCAGAUUCCUUAUCUGCAAGAGAGCCCUAUAUUCAAGACAUUUGAAUUAAAAUAGGUACGUUAGAGACGCAGUCUUUCAGAGCUUUAUUGCCUGUGGUUUAAGCAUUGCUCAAUACUUUUGUGGAUGGCAGUUUCAACCGGCAGAGCACUGCGCUUUGUCAGUCACAUGUCUUCAAAGCGGUGUUUACCAUUUGUGUUGAUCUGUUUGUGUAUGCAUAGAGCAAGUCUUUAAUUUACUUUUUUCUGCAUUCUUGUGCUUGCACUAAGCUUGUAUAAGGCAGUUACAAAAUGUGCGUCACUAUAACGAACUGUUCUGUUGAGCUUACACUUGCAAAUAAUAGUGUUCAGAUGGCCGCACUUCUAUGUAGGUGCACCGCUAGCUUUGAGCAUGUUCUCAUGUUUGUAUAAAGCUUAUAUAAGCUAGUUACAAAAUGUGUCACUAAGCAUUGUGAUAUUCUUUAAAGAACUGCUUGGUUGGUUUUACACUUGUGAAUUAGCAUUGAGGCAGUGGUAUUCCCAUGUAGGCCCACUGCUAGCUUUCUGUGUCCUCACAUGUUUGUAUUAAGCUUUUACAAGGGAGUUACAGCAUGUACGUCACUAAGCACUGUGAUAUUUUUCAAAGAACUGCUUUGUUGGUUUUACACCUGUGAGUAAUAGUACUCGGGUGGCACUAGUCAUAUAUAGGUACACGGGGACCAUUUGUAUACAUUAUGCUCAUGUAAAGCAGUUACAAAGCGUAUGUCACUAAUCACUGUGAUAUUUGUUGAAUUGCUGUGAUGGUUCCCUCUGCUUGGAAAGAGGCCAUCAUAAUUCCUAUAUUGAAAUCGGGUAAGGACCCUUCUUUAGCAAAUAGUUAUAGGCCUAUAGCAUUGACGAGCUGCUUAUGCAAAGUUUUUGAGAAGAUAGUAAACAGUCGCCUGGUACAUUAUCUAGAAAUUAACAACAAAUUAGAUCCAUAUCAAUGUGGCUUUAGAGAAGGCAGAUUGACGACAGAUCAGCUUGUACGCAUGGAAAUGUACAUCAGGGAAGCGUUUGUCCACAAACAGCUUGUGUUAUCAGUGUUUCUAGAUAUGGAGAAGGCGUAUGAUACUAUGUGGCGCUUCGGGAUCCUUCGGGAUCUUUCUGCAAUGGGCAUUUGCGGCAACCUGCUGAGAAUAAUUGAAAGCUAUCUCUCUGACAGGACAUUUCGUGUUAGAGUUGGCAACGUAUAGUCCCGACCAUUUUUACAGGAGACAGGUGUACUGCAGGGUGGAGUACUGAGCUGUACGUUAUUUAUUGUUAAAAUGAACUCCCUCCACACUGUAUUGCCUCGCACACUCUUCUACUCUGUCUAUGUGGACGAUGUACAGAUAGGGUUCAGGUCAUGCAAUCUUAGCAUUUGCGAGAGGCAGCUACAACUUGGCUUGAAUAGAUUCUCAAGGUGGGCGGACGAGAAUGGUUUCAAAUUGAACCCCCAAAAGAGCACAUGUGUCCUGUUUUCAAACAAGAGAGGUGUACUACCACAACCCGAUAUUAACCUUAAUGGAGAAAGACUAACUUUCAGCCCUGAACACAAAUUCUUAGGUGUUAUCCUCGACACAAGACUUAACUUCAUUCCCCAUCUAAAAUAUCUUAAAGAAAAGUGCCUGAAGACCAUGAACCUCCUCAAGCUGCUCUCUCGAACAACCUGGGGCAGUGACAGGAAGUGUCUGCUUAGCCUGUAUAAGUCUCGUACAAUCACGCCUCGACUAUGGAGCCGUGGUGUACCACUCGGCAACUGAAAGUGCGCUAAAGAUUCUCGACCCAGUCCACAACCUCGGUAUACGACUGGCAACAGGCGCCUUUAGAACUAGCCCUGUUGGAAGUCUGUACGUUGAGGCCAACGAAUGGUCCUUACACCAACGCAGAACAUUCCUAAGUUUUUCAUACUACACUAAGGUAAAAUCAGACACCGAGCAUCCAUGUCAUUCCAUAGUUAGCGACCUGUCCGCUUCCAGACUUUACAUUAACCGCCCACAUAUUAGAACUCCUUAGAGCCUACGCUUGGAAGCAAUGGCAGAAGAAACAGACAUCCAUAUCCCAGAAAAUAUCCUGAUGCCUCCCACUCACCUUCCACCUCCUUGGGAAUGGCAGACCAUGCAAUGCGAUAUCUCUUUUGUCGAAAUAACAAAACAUGCACCAGAGGUACACUUACGGUCACACUUCUGCGAACUGCAAGUGAAGUACUGCUGUGCCGAGUUAUAUACAGAUGCUUCCAAGUCAUCUGCAGGUGUCGCGUAUGCAGCUCUUGGGCCAUUUUUUUCCACCUCCGGUACUCUAAAUCCCAACACAAGUAUUUUUACGGCUGAAGGGUACGCAAUACUUUCAGCUGUAAAGCACAUCAGACAUACAAACCUGCAUAAGGCGAUCAUCUUCACAGAUUCAUUAAGCGUAGUAAGGGCCUUAAUGAGUUUUCGAAAACAUAAAAACCCUGUUUUUGAUAAACUAUACACAGAACUAUGCUUAGCCUUAACAUACAACCAAAAUAUAGUCCUGUGUUGGGUACCUGGCCAUAGGGGCAUAAAAGGUUAUGUAGCUGCUGACGAAAGUGCAACGUCAGUCGCCUUUAAUCAAACGGAUGUGAAUAUACCCAUACCAGUCACAGAACUUAAGCCCUUCUUACGCCACAAACUGAGGAAACACUGGCAGGACCAAUGGGAUAAUGCAGUAGAGAAUAAGCUACACGUCAUCAAACCAAAAUUAGGGAACUGGAUAUCUGAAAGAACAGCAAGACAUAAGGAAGUGCUUUGUAGGUUAAGAAUAGGACAUACUUAUGCCACUCACUCUUACCUUUUGACGGGAAGCGAACCUCCGACAUGUACCAAAUGUGGCAAGAGGCUUACAGUUAUCCAUGUUCUUAUCCAAUGCACUGAAAUAGAGGCAGAAAGGAAAAAGUACUUUCCGUCUGCUUAUCUCCAACACAUACCGUUACACCCAGCAUUUUUUCUGAGCAAUGAGCCCCUUUUUACUUUUCAAUCAGUAUUAAACUUUCUAACUGAAACGGACACCUUACAUGUGAUUUGGCCAGGCUACUUGUAGCACGGUCUCCACCUGGAGGUCGUAGCUGCAACGAACCCAUUUUCUAGAGCACGUGUCUCCCAGCCCUUGCUUUCAAGGCCUUGCUGAGGCACUAAUGCUAGAGACAUUACAUGUUUUACUGAUCAUCCCUCAUCUCGUGAAACAUCUAUUGUCAUCGCAGACACGAUCAAUCACUGUCAUAUUUUUAUACUUGUAUUUUACGCACUUCAGAGCAAAUUUUAGGUCCUUUUACAGCCAUAUUGCACCACAUGCACAUUUUUCACUUUUUAGUGAAUAUUUUAGGCCACUAUACAGCCGUGUUUCAUUAAUCCCCGCAAUUAACACCCAUAUAUCAUUGAAAAGCACGGAUCAUCGACUUGGCGCUUUUUGGCCACAUCUGGCCCUUGCGCCAAAAAACUCUACUAAUUAAUAAAAUCAACCUGUGAUGGUUUUACAGAUGUGAAUAAUAGUGGUCAGGACACGGUACUUGCGAUGUAUAGUUGAAUUUAUACAGUGCCGAGACAUAGGCUGUAUACGUACCAAAAGAAAUUUGUCAUUAUAUUGUGAUAAUUACUGUUUGGAUUUUAUUAAACUAAUAAAAUUCUUUCUUG